AGAGUUUGAUCCUGGCUCAGGAUGAACGCUGGCGGCGUGCUUAACACAUGCAAGUCGAACGAUGAUCCGGUGCUUACGCCGGGGAUUAGUGGCGAACGGGUGAGUAACACGUGAGUAACCUGCCCUUGACUCUGGGAUAAGCCUGGGAAACUGGGUCUAAUACCGGAUAUGACUCCUCAUCGCAUGGUGGGGGGUGGAAAGCUUUUUGUGGUUUUGGAUGGACUCGCGGCCUAUCAGCUUGUUGGUGGGGGUAAUGGCCUACCAAGGCGACGACGGGUAGCCGGCCUGAGAGGGUGACCGGCCACACUGGGACUGAGACACGGCCCAGACUCCUACGGGAGGCAGCAGUGGGGAAUAUUGCACAAUGGGCGAAAGCCUGAUGCAGCGACGCCGCGUGAGGGAUGACGGCCUUCGGGUUGUAAACCUCUUUCAGUAGGGAAGAAGCCCUCUUUGGGGGUGACGGUACUUGCAGAAGAAGCGCCGGCUAACUACGUGCCAGCAGCCGCGGUAAUACGUAGGGCGCAAGCGUUAUCCGGAAUUAUUGGGCGUAAAGAGCUCGUAGGCGGUUUGUCGCGUCUGCUGUGAAAGACCGGGGCUCAACUCCGGUUCUGCAGUGGGUACGGGCAGACUAGAGUGCAGUAGGGGAGACUGGAAUUCCUGGUGUAGCGGUGAAAUGCGCAGAUAUCACGAGGAACACCGAUGGCGAUAGCAGGUCUCUGGGCUGUAACUGACGCUGAGGAGCGAAAGCAUGGGGAGCGAACAGGAUUAGAUACCCUGGUAGUCCAUGCCGUAAACGUUGG
rnacentral:rRNA from 1 species